UGGAAUUCUGGGGUUUGUGGGCUUGCAUG
rnacentral:piRNA from 2 species